CAAAAAAUAGUUUAUUUAAAAUAUUAAUUUUGGAGAUUAAUGAAGAGAAAGUUUCUUUUUUUUGA
rnacentral:tRNA from 1 species